rnacentral:rRNA from 1 species
UACGUAGGGUGCAAGCGUUAAUCGGAAUUACUGGGCGUAAAGCGUGCGCAGGCGGCGGCUUGUGUCAGGUGUGAAAUCCCCGGGCUUAACCUGGGAAUUGCGCUUGAAACUAGGUCGCUCGAGUUCAGUAGAGGGGGGUGGAAUUCCACGUGUAGCAGUGAAAUGCGUAGAGAUGUGGAGGAACACCGAUGGCGAAGGCAGCCCCCUGGACUGAAACUGACGCUCAGGCACGAAAGCGUGGGGAGCAAACAGG